rnacentral:rRNA from 1 species
UAGGGAAUCUUCCACAAUGGACAAAAAGUCUGAUGGAGCAACGCCGCGUGAGUGAAGAAGGGUUUCGGCUCGUAAAACUCUGUUGUUAAAGAAGAACAUAUCUGAGAGUAACUGUUCAGGUAUUGACGGUAUUUAACCAGAAAGCCACGGCUAACUACGUGCCAG